rnacentral:misc_RNA from 1 species
AAACCAUCAAGCCUAGCUUGGUCUUGGACGCGGUCGAGUGACCCGUCCGUAACCCGUUGGCGGUGCGGUCCGGCUUCAAGCGUAGCAAAAAUUUCGCUUCAGGAGUCCGCGGCGGUGCCUGCCAGGUAACAGUAUCCCAAA